rnacentral:hammerhead_ribozyme from 1 species
AUCCAGCUGAUGAGUCCCAAAUAGGACGAAACGCGCGUUCUGAAU